rnacentral:tRNA from 1 species
GAAAUAAUUAAAAAUUAAGCUUCUAACUUAAAAAAUUAAGCGUUAAAUACGUUUAUAUUUCU